rnacentral:tRNA from 1 species
GGGGCUGGGUGCUCUACCCUGUGCGAGGAACUCCGCGCAGUCUCCCAUAGAAGCUUCUCAGCAGCCUCGCAGCGGGGGCAUUCUGCUAACUGUGUGGGGGAGAGGACUGUGAGGAGAUUCCCCCGGAUGCUGUGCUUUCCCCCACAGAGGUGGGAAGGCCGCAGAGACCUUGAAACAGGCAGGCGACAGGAGAGAGAAAACAUCAUCUCCGCAGUUUAGGAAGACCAUGGUGUAGCUGUUUGGAUGGACUGGAGAAGCCAAGAGCGAGUCACUCAGAAGGAAAGGCUGAUUUCGGCGCGUGGACACACAGCUACAUCGCCGUGGGAAGAAAGUGCAGGUGUGCACGGCCGCCAGAAGGAAGGCGUGUCCAGUAAAGCGGGAGGCCAGUCCCCAGGUGCUCCGACACCCCAUUUCCGGGUGCACCCCACCGUCUUCUUCACGGCAGUAUUGUUCUGGACCUCCUGAGCUUGCUGCUGAACAGAGCUGAGAGCGGUGCCUAGCACUCACAUGUAGUGAACACUCGACUAUUUACUGAGUGAAUACAUGAAUGUUACGGAACAAAACCCAGUCUUUCUUUUUCUUUCUUUUUGACUGCUAGGCCUAAGUCCCUAUUCAUCCUGCAUUUAUGAAUAUUUUUAAUAACAAAAGAAAUACAUGCUGACUCUAGAAAAGCUAAUUAGAAAAUACAGUUGAUCAAAAAACAAAAAUAAGGGGUGCCUGGCUGGCUCGGUCAGAGGAGCCUGUGACUCUUAAUCUCGGGAUGGUGAGUUCAAGGCCCACGUUGGGUACAGAGACUGCUUUAAAAAAAAAAAAAAAGAAUCCCAUGCGGUCUUCCUGUCCAGCCAUAACCACUGGUGUUAACAAUUUGCCAUUAGAUCCUCCCAGGCACCCCUCUAAGCAAACCCACUGAAAUAGCAGUCAAGACAUAUGGUUUGGGGACUGGUUUUAUUUUUCCUUUUCACUUAAUAAUCCUGUGGAUGUGUCUCCAUGUCAUUGAAAUAUUUUCUAAGAUGUUUUUAGACUUUACUAGUCACUAUUUUAAUUUUACUAUUAAGCUGUGUGAUAGAUUUACUCUUUCAUCAUUUAUAUGUGUUUGUAAUUCCAUUGAAGGGAUGUUCCGUAAGCAAACCUUGUAUAAUGUAAAAGGCGAACAUUAACAAAAAU